UAGUAACGGCGAGUGAAGCGGGAUGAGCUCAAGCUUAAAAUCUCUGUGCCAGUUUGGCAUGGCGAAUUGUAGUCUAUGGAGGCGAUAUCAGUGCGACUGUUCGGGGUAAGUUCCUUGGAAGAGGACAGCAUCGAGGGUGAUACUCCCGUUUGUACCUGUUCAGUUGCGCGUACGAUACGUUUUCUUUGAGUCGCGUUGUUUGGGAAUGCAGCGCAAAGUAGGUGGUAAAUUCCAUCUAAAGCUAAAUAUUGGUGCGAGACCGAUAGCGAACAAGUACCGUGAGGGAAAGAUGAAAAGAACUUUGAAAAGAGAGUUAAAGAGUACCUGAAACUGCUGAAAGGGAACCGAAUCGUUUCCAGUGUCUAUAAUCCAUGGUAUAUUUCAUUGGUGAGUGAGUGCGUGCAGCGUUUUGGAAGUGGUUUCCGCUCCUGUCGUUGUUGUGCAUUUGCUUGCUGGUGCCCUGUGCUGUGGUGGGACGUCAGAGUCAGUUUGUAUGUUGCGGGAAAUGAUUAUUGGGGAGGUAGGUCGCUUCGGUGGCUGUUAUAUCCUGAUAAUUAGUCGUCGUGGCUGAGACUGAGGUGCCUACAACGUGCUUUCGAGUCUGCGGGUUUCUCGUGUUGCUGUUUGCUUUGAUAGCUUGCUAUGUUGGUGAAUAAGUAGUGCGAUUGAGAUUUGUAGUAACUUGUUGCCGUUC
rnacentral:rRNA from 1 species